UCUGCCCGGCGCCGCCGCAGGAGCGCGGAGAGGCGCGGCUGGGGCAGCUGGCGCCGCCUCGCUCGUCCCCCUCGGUCCUCGCUCCCGCGGGGCCAUGGACUGAGCGCUGGACCUGUCGCGGGGAUGGGGCCGCUCCCACCUCUCCUGCUCCUGCUGCUGCUGCUCCUGCCGCUCGCCCUGCCCGCCGCCCCCGCCCCCGCGCCCCGCAGCCGGCAGCUCCCGGGGCGCUUGGGCUGCCUGCUGGAGGAUGGCCUUUGCGGUACAUCGGAGGCCUGUGUAAACGAUCAUCUACAUCUAAAAUGCGGAUGACGGCACUUUU
rnacentral:lncRNA from 1 species